rnacentral:lncRNA from 1 species
UUUAAUUGUUAAUAUGUAGAUAUAUUUUUUUCCAGCCUUGUAAACUGUGACCUGAAGAUGUGUUUAGCUUUUCUAAUUGUAUUACAUUAUCAACUGCUUUAUAGCUCUCAAAAUUUUACAGGAGCUAUGAGCUAAUUUGUAUUCUUUGUUUUCAUAUAGAGCUUCACAAGAAGGAGACAUGUGAAGCUGUUACAAUCAUUGAAACCCCUCCUAUGGUGAUUGUUGGGGUUGUUGGAUACGUGAAGACACCACGUGGCCUUCGCACCUUGAACACCGUCUGGGCUCAGCAUUUGAGUGAGGAGGUCAAACGUAGGUUCUACAAGCACUGGUGCAAGUCAAAGAAGAAGGCUUUCACCAAAUACUCGAAGCAGUAUGAGAGUGAUGAAGGGAAGAAGAGUAUCCAGGCUCAGCUGGAGAAGAUGAAGAAAUAUGCCACUGUUAUUAGGAUCUUGGCCCACACUCAGGUAAUAGCAAUAUUUGAUUUCAGAUCACAGUUUCAGGUUAGUUAAAUUUCAUUAUUUAAACUUGUUUCAAGGUGGCUAAUUUUUCUUACUAAUUGUGUUACAGAUUAGGAAAAUGAAAGGAUUGAAACAGAAGAAGGCACACCUGAUGGAGAUCCAAGUCAAUGGUGGAACUGUUGCUGACAAGGUGGACUUUGCUUACAAGUUCUUUGAGAAGCAAGUCCCCAUUGAUGCUGUUUU